CAAUAUUUAUAAACUUUGGAGCGCAAUGCUGGAAAUAUUUAGUGGUCUACUAAAGAUGCAUAAUGAUAAGUUUUCACUGGCGGCUAUUGGAAACAUUUUAGUUCUUUCAGGUCCAAGAAGUACAGCCCAACUAGCUAAAGAGGAUGACGAUCUUUGGGGUUCCAUAGCUGCCCUUGCUCCAAGAACUGUCUCAAACUUAUUGAACGUAAAAUCAAGUGCACCUACGACUCGAGCCAAGCCAUUGUCAGCUGGUAGGGGAAGAGGAAACAAAGCACUUGCUUCAAAAUUAGGGGCAUAAAGGACUAAUCGAACAUCGUUUACUGAAUUACAAAAGAAAUGCAUAUACAAAAGCAGACUUGCAAUGCACGAAUGCAUAUACAAAAGAGGUUGAGAGUUGAUUGCCUUCUGAUGCAAAUAUCAAUAAUGUUGCGAAGAUUGGCUCUGUUGUUGGUGGUACUUAUUUUAGCUCAUGAAUUGGAGGUAGUAGAGGAUGCAGAAUGCAAGUUUAUUUGAAGCCAAGUUUUAUUCAAGGUCAUUGAGUUGGGUUGAUAGAAGUAAUGUUUUGUAUAUAACAAUAUCGAACAAAUAUGUAAAGUUUUCGAAAUGUUGAUACAUAUA